rnacentral:rRNA from 1 species
UACGUAGGGUACGAGCGUUGUCCGGAAUUAUUGGGCGUAAAGAGCUCGUAGGUGGUUGGUCACGUCUGCUGUGGAAACGCAACGCUUAACGUUGCGCGGGCAGUGGGUACGGGCUGACUAGAGUGCAGUAGGGGAGUCUGGAAUUCCUGGUGUAGCGGUGAAAUGCGCAGAUAUCAGGAGGAACACCGGUGGCAAAGGCGGGACUCUGGGCUGUAACUGACACUGAGGAGCGAAAGCAUGGGGAGCGAACAGGAUUAGAUACCCU